CAGUAACGACCUCCAGUAAAACAUCUUGGCUGCACUGUCGCUGAGGCCCGAGUACGACUCUGGCCACCAACUGUCAAGGAACAUCGCUACGUCAUGAAACAACUUUGUGAACUCGGAAAACGAAGAAGGACAGAAAAUUGACUCGCUGCGACGAGCUUAGGUGUGCUCUGUAGAUUAAAAUUGCUAGUUUAUCGUUUAUCGAGCUGAAGAUUGUAAUGCGAAUUUAACUAUCUGUGAAUUAAUUUGUCCACCGUUAGAUUUACCCGCGUUUGGCAACGCACCCGCGAUCUCGUUGAUUAAUCCCACCAAUUUUCACCAACGCAAGCACCAGCUGCCCAAAUUUAACAUCAGGUUCAGAACGAAUUAAAAAAAGGCAAAAAAGAUUACAAACGUAAGUA